UGGGGAAUUUUGGACAAUGGGGGCAACCCUGAUCCAGCAAUGCCGCGUGUGUGAAGAAGGCCUUCGGGUUGUAAAGCACUUUUGUCCGGAAAGAAAACGUCGUGGUUAAUACCCGUGGCGGCUGACGGUACCGGAAGAAUAAGCACCGGCUAACUACGUGCCAGCAGCCGCGGUAAUACGUAGGGUGCAAGCGUUAAUCGGAAUUACUGGGCGUAAAGCGUGCGCAGGCGGUCCGCUAAGACAGAUGUGAAAUCCCCGGGCUUAACCUGGGAACUGCAUUUGUGACUGGCGGGCUAGAGUAUGGCAGAGGGGGGUAGAAUUCCACGUGUAGCAGUGAAAUGCGUAGAGAUGUGGAGGAAUACCGAUGGCGAAGGCAGCCCCCUGGGCCAAUACUGACGCUCAUGCACGAAAGCGUGGGGAGCAAACAGGAUUAGAUACCCUGGUAGUCCACGCCCUAAACGAUGUCAACUAGUUGUCGGGUCUUCAUUGACUUGGUAACGUAGCUAACGCGUGAAGUUGACCGCCUGGGGAGUACGGUCGCAAGAUUAAAACUUAAAUG
rnacentral:rRNA from 1 species